AGCAAGUAGCUCUGACUCAUGGUCCGCAAAACGUCAAACCUCAGAUUAGUUCUUAACAUAUUUAGAUGGAUAAAUCUUAGAUUGGAAAGCCCAGGAACACAUCUGAAUAUAAGCGUUGUUUGAUUCAAUUUCUGGGACUCUGCAUUUAUGAAUGACAUGGAUGAAGCCGAUGAAGAAGAAAUAUACGAGAAUGAGCCACACCAACAACAAUAAUAUGAACGCUUUUUGAUGAUAAUUAUGAAAAUAUUCAAAUUGCGAUAGAGGAGCAUAUGUUUAAUAGGAAUUAAGAUACUUUAUUUGAUAUGAAAAGGUUCAAUUUUGAUGAACUGCAUAUUACAUUA